rnacentral:tRNA from 1 species
GGCCCACUGGCCUAAUGGAUAAGACACCAGCCUCUAGAACUGGGAAUUGUGGGUUCAAGUCCCACCUGGGUCA